rnacentral:lncRNA from 1 species
UCAUCAGUUUGAGCCGCUUUCCUUGCCUUGGUCCCUGAGAACCGUCUUCCGACCCUUCCUCCUUCGGUGCUGACUGCUCCCGCGGCUCUUUACGCUGAGAUGUUUCACUGACUUCUGCCUGAGAUCUGGAAAAGGAACACUGCCCAAUAGAUGAACAUGUGUGAAAAAUAACUUCCAAGGAACAUCAUGGGCGCAGGGACUGUGCUAAACAGAAAACUGUCAGUCACUGCGGGAAUGUGCCUCCCUGAUCGCCGCGAUCGCCCGCUGCCGCAGCUGUUUCUCCUUCACACGCAUAGGCUCCCUGUCUUGCAUGGGAGGGAGCAGACCCAGGGGACACCAGACCAACUUGAGUUCACAUGGGUUGACUAUCCACACCUCUCUCCUCUGUCUUUGGUAUCCCGUGAAGUGUGCUGUGUCUCCUCUACCCUGUGAUUCCUGUUCAUCUCAGGAAGCAGCUGAAAGGGUCAGGAAGGUCCUGGGACAUUAAACUACUGUUUGGAUGAUG